CUUGGCGACCAUAGCACUUUGGACCCACCUGAUUUCCAUUCCGAACUCAGAAGUGAAACAAAGUAGCGU
rnacentral:rRNA from 1 species